rnacentral:rRNA from 1 species
CGUUAAAAGAUGAGUUUGCGCAAGAUUAGGUAGUUGGUAGUUUAAAAGACUACCAAGCCAAAGAUCUUUAGCUGGUUUGAAAGAACGAUCAGCCACAUUGGGACUGAGAUACGGCCCAGACUUUUUUUAAAGGCAGCAGUGAGGAAUUUUGGACAAUGAGCGAAAGCUUGAUCCAGCAAUACCAAGUGAGUGAAGAAGGCUAAAUAGGUUGUAAAACUCUUUCAUUAAGGAGGAAAAUGACAGUACUUAAAGAAGAAGUUCUGGCUAAUACUCGUGCCAGCAGUCGCGGUAAUACGGGAAGAGCGAGCAUUAUUCAAAAUGAUUAGGCGUAAAGAGUUUGUAGGUUGUUUGUUAAGUUGAAAAAGAAAAAUUAAAGCUCAACUUUAAAUAUUUUUCAAAACUAAUAAACUAGAGUAUAAAUAGAGGAUAAUAGAAUUUCUAUUGGAGGGAUAAAAUACUUUGAGAGUAGAAGGAAUAUCAAAAGCGAAGGCAAUUAUCUGGGUAUAUACUGACACUGAGAAACGAAAGCUUGGGGAGCGAACGGGAUUAGAUACCCCCGGUAGUCCAUGCUGUAAACGAUGAGUGCUAAUAUUUAGAAUUUUUUUUUAGAUAAUAAAGCUAACGCGUUAAGCACUCCGCCUGAAAAGUACGAUCGCAAGGUUGAAAUUCAAGGGAAUUGACGGGAGUCUACACAAGCGG